UGUCGCCCGAGGAUGCUGGGAGGAACACUGAGCCGACCUCUCCGUUAGGCUGAAGAUUGCACAAACCAUGCUAAUGGCCAGCAUGGGUGGAGGGAGCGUGUGAGAUGUGUGGGGCGGCGUGCUGCAUCUCAGCCAACUCCAGGAGGAAGCAUGCUCAUGGCAAUACCCGGAGUCUCCACUGCAAGACCAGAGUGAUGGAGGCAGCAGAGCUCCUCAGCAGGCCAGGAGUCUCCAGAGGCACUGCCGAAUGUCUAAGAAGCAACCUCAUUGUAUUCCCAAGAGCUGGGAAUCCAGGUCUCGCAGAUACGAUGAUACAAUCUAUAGCCAGGACAUCUCUUCAUGUGUAGGAUAAGCAACUAUCCCAGUCUUCCCAGGAUUGAGGGACUUCUCCAGAUGCUGCACUUCCGGUGCUAAAAAUUAGAAACUGAAAUGAAUUAGUCACCCAAGGAAUGCUGACCCUGUGCUAUAUGAUCACAUUUACUCUUUAAAGCAAUGCUUUGAGACUCCACGUUUUUUUUCUGGAAAGAGCACCAUUUUGCC
rnacentral:lncRNA from 1 species